rnacentral:rRNA from 1 species
UUGGAGGGCAAGUCUGGUGCCAGCAGCCGCGGUAAUUCCAGCUCCAAUAGCGUAUAUUAAAGUUGUUGCAGUUAAAAAGCUCGUAGUUGAACUUCAGACCUGGCCGGGCGGUCCGCCUAACGGUGUGUACUGUCUGGCUGGGCCUUACCUCUUGGUGAGCCGGCAUGCCCUUCACUGGGUGCGUCGGGGAACCAGGACCUUUACCUUGAGAAAUUAGAGUGUUCAAAGCAGGCUUACGCCGGAAUACAUUAGCAUGGAAUAAAUAAAAUAGGACGUGG